ACCACAUGUACAGGAUAGGUAGGAGCCUAUGAUAACGGGACGCCAGUUUCGUUUGAGGCGUUGUUGGGAUACUACCCUUGUGUUAUGGCUACUCUAACCCAGAUAGGCAAUCCCUAUCGGAGACAGUGUCUGACGGGCAGUUUGACUGGGGCGGUCGCCUCCUAAAAGGUAACGGAGGCGCCCAAAGGUUCCCUCAGGCUGGUUGGAAAUCAGUCGUAGAGUGUAAAGGUAUAAGGGAGCUUGACUGCGAGAGCUACAACUCGAGCAGGGACGAAAGUCGGGCUUAGUGAUCCGGUGGUUCCGUAUGGAAGGGCCAUCGCUCAACGGAUAAAAGCUACCCUGGGGAUAACAGGCUUAUCUCCCCCAAGAGUUCACAUCGACGGGGAGGUUUGGC
rnacentral:rRNA from 1 species